rnacentral:rRNA from 1 species
UUAAGGUUGGUAUAAAAUGAAGUGAGAGAGGGUUGAAGCUGGGAAUUAAGCUUGAUUUAUAGAGGUGGAAUUUGCAUAAAAAAAGAUUGAUUAAAUGUUUCCAGUAUUCUUGAUCUUCGAAAAUUGGAUAAGAGACCGGGAUUAGAUACCCCGUUAUUUUUACUGUAAAUUUUGGGUCACCUACCUGAGUAUUACGAGUUAGGUAGUUAAAACUCAUAAAAAUUAUGGGUUUUAGUGCUUUUUUGCUUAAAACUCAAAAAACUUGGCGGUAUUUUAUUUCUUUCCAGGGGAACCUGUCCUGUAAUCGAUGGUCCACGAUUUAGCUUACUUUCUUUUGAAAAGUGUGGGUUAGUUCACAGAGCAGCCUGUAUACCGUCGUCGUCAGAUAACCUUUAAGAGGGAAGAAGUUAUCGGUAAAAUGGGGAUUAGAUUAGCUUAAGUUGUGAAUUUAAGGUGAUUUAUUUACGUUUUGAUGUCAGAUCAAGGUGCAGUUUAUGAGAGAGGAGAGAUGGGUUACAUUAUAAAAUUAAUUUGGAUCUCAUAAUGUAAUUUUUGAGUGAAAUUGGACUUGGAAGUAAUGUGUUAAUUAUGAUAUGUAAAUAGGUAGUAGACGUGAAUGUUGUACUAAAAUGUGC